GAUGAACGCUGGCGGCGUGCUUAACACAUGCAAGUCGAACGAUUAAGACCCCUUCGGGGGUGUAUAGAGUGGCGAACGGGUGAGUAACACGUGGGCAACCUGCCCCUUCCUCUGGGAUAACACGGAGAAAUCCGUGCUAAUACCGGAUACUCCAUAUCUGCGUCAUCGCGGAUUUAGGAAAGCUCCGACGGGAAGGGAUGGGCCCGCGGUCCAUUAGAUAGUCGGUGGGGUAACGGCCUACCGAGGCGACGAUGGAUAGCCGGGUUGAGAGACCGACCGGCCACAGUGGGACUGAGACACGGCCCAGACUCCUACGGGAGGCAGCAGUGGGGAAUUUUGCGCAAUGGGGGAAACCCUGACGCAGCAACGCCGCGUGCGGGAUGAAGGCCUUCGGGUUGUAAACCGCUUUCAGCAGGGAAGAAUACAGACGGUACCUGCAGAAGAAGCUCCGGCUAACUACGUGCCAGCCGCCGCCGUAA
rnacentral:rRNA from 1 species